GAUGAAGAACGCAGCAAAAUGCGAUAAGUAAUGUGAAUUGCAGAAUUCAGUGAAUCAUCGAAUCUUUGAACGCACAUUGCGCCCGCCAGUAUUCUGGCGGGCAUGCCUGUUCGAGCGUCAUUUCAACCCUCAAGCAAAGCUUGGUGUUGGGACUCGCGUUAAUUCGCGUUCCCCAAAUUGAUUGGCGGUCACGUCGAGCUUCCAUAGCGUAGUAGUAAAACCCUCGUUACUGGUAAUCGUCGCGGCCACGCCGUUAAACCCCAACUUCUGAAUGUUGACCUCGGAUCAGGUAGGAAUACCCGCUGAACUUAAGCAUAUCAAUAAGCGGAGGA
rnacentral:misc_RNA from 1 species